GAUGAACGCUGGCGGCGUGCUUAACACAUGCAAGUCGAACGGAAAGGCCCAAGCUUGCUUGGGUACUCGAGUGGCGAACGGGUGAGUAACACGUGGGUGAUCUGCCCUGCACUUCGGGAUAAGCCUGGGAAACUGGGUCUAAUACCGGAUAGGACCACUUCUUGGAUGUUGUGGUGGAAAGUUUUUUCGGUGUGGGAUGAGCUCGCGGCCUAUCAGCUUGUUGGUGGGGUAAUGGCCUACCAAGGCGUCGACGGGUAGCCGGCCUGAGAGGGUGUACGGCCACAUUGGGACUGAGAUACGGCCCAGACUCCUACGGGAGGCAGAAGUGGGGAAUAUUGCACAAUGGGCGCAAGCCUGAUGCAGCGACGCCGCGUGGGGGAUGACGGCCUUCGGGUUGUAAACUCCUUUCGCUAGGGACGAAGCGUUUUGUGACGGUACCUGGAGAAGAAGCACCGGCUAACUACGUG
rnacentral:rRNA from 1 species